rnacentral:ncRNA from 1 species
AGGAGCCGGAUGAAGCGAAAGUUUCAUGUCCGGUUCUGAAGACAAGUCGGGUAGGGUGACUUAUCUGGC